rnacentral:rRNA from 1 species
GCUAUACAUGCAGUCGAGCGGACAGAAGGGAGCUUGCUCCCGGAUGUUAGCGGCGGACGGGUGAGUAACACGUGGGUAACCUGCCUGUAAGACUGGGAUAACUCCGGGAAACCGGAGCUAAUACCGGAUAGUUCCUUGAACCGCAUGGUUCAAGGAUGAAAGACGGUUUCGGCUGUCACUUACAGAUGGACCCGCGGCGCAUUAGCUAGUUGGUGAGGUAACGGCUCACCAAGGCGACGAUGCGUAGCCGACCUGAGAGGGUGAUCGGCCACACUGGGACUGAGACACGGCCCAGACUCCUACGGGAGGCAGCAGUAGGGAAUCUUCCGCAAUGGACGAAAGUCUGACGGAGCAACGCCGCGUGAGUGAUGAAGGUUUUCGGAUCGUAAAGCUCUGUUGUUAGGGAAGAACAAGUGCAAGAGUAACUGCUUGCACCUUGACGGUACCUAACCAGAAAGCCACGGCUAACUACGUGCCAGCAGCCGCGGUAAUACGUAGGUGGCAAGCGUUGUCCGGAAUUAUUGGGCGUAAAGGGCUCGCAGGCGGUUUCUUAAGUCUGAUGUGAAAGCCCCCGGCUCAACCGGGGAGGGUCAUUGGAAACUGGGAAACUUGAGUGCAGAAGAGGAGAGUGGAAUUCCACGUGUAGCGGUGAAAUGCGUAGAGAUGUGGAGGAACACCAGUGGCGAAGGCGACUCUCUGGUCUGUAACUGACGCUGAGGAGCGAAAGCGUGGGGAGCGAACAGGAUUAGAUACCCUGGUAGUCCACGCCGUAAACGAUGAGUGCUAAGUGUUAGGGGGUUUCCGCCCCUUAGUGCUGCAGCUAACGCAUUAAGCACUCCGCCUGGGGAGUACGGUCGCAAGACUGAAACUCAAAGGAAUUGACGGGGGCCCGCACAAGCGGUGGAGCAUGUGGGUUAAUUCGAAGCAACGCGGAGAACCUUACCAGGUCUUGACAUCCUCUGACAACCCUAGAGAUAGGGCUUUCCCUUCCGGGACAGAAUGACAAGUGGUGCAUGGUUGUCGUCAGCUCCUGUCCU